GUGGGGAAUAUUGGACAAUGGGCGAAAGCCUGAUCCAGCCAUGCCGCGUGUGUGAAGAAGGUCUUCGGAUUGUAAAGCACUUUAAGUUGGGAGGAAGGGCAGUAAGUUAAUACCUUGCUGUUUUGACGUUACCAACAGAAUAAGCACCGGCUAACUUCGUGCCAGCAGCCGCGGUAAUACGAAGGGUGCAAGCGUUAAUCGGAAUUACUGGGCGUAAAGCGCGCGUAGGUGGUUCAGUAAGUUGGAAGUGAAAUCCCCGGGCUCAACCUGGGAACUGCUUUCAAAACUGCUGAGCUAGAGUACGGUAGAGGGUGGUGGAAUUUCCUGUGUAGCGGUGAAAUGCGUAGAUAUAGGAAGGAACACCAGUGGCGAAGGCGACUACCUGGACUGAUACUGACACUGAGGUGCGAAAGCGUGGGGAGCAAACAGGAUUAGAAACCCUGGUAGUCC
rnacentral:rRNA from 1 species